GCACUGUGUUCAUAAUCUGAAAAAUUUCAUAAAUUCUGAAAAAUUCAUAGAAAUGCAUUAUCUGAAGAAACAAUACACUGUCAUUGCAGGACAUUGCAGGAAAAUUUACUAUUUUUUAAUGAAAUUUUCAGAUUAUGACCAGUGCAAAGCAUUAUUCAAGACACCAACGAGUCGAUCGACACGCAGUCUCAAACACAGAACUAAUAUUACAAACACACAACACAGCUUAUUCGGGAUUACAAACUACUAAAGCUUAGCAUCCACACCUAAAGCUUAGUUUCUAGUCGCUUUUGACGUCCGAAGAGCGCAGCGAGGAGGGGUACAGCAUCUGCUUCCCGCCACCCUGGGCCAUCGUCUUGCUCGGCGCAUCGGUCUGGUCGCCACCGCCAUGGCGGUGCAUGUACAGGAGGCGGUAGCAGAACUCGACGACCUCCGGCGCAAACACCCUCCACAGGUACAUUGUUCCGAACCAUGACGGCACGGUGAGGUAACGGUCACCUUGGCGAGCUGCCUGCACCAUGGCCCUCGCGCAGUUCUUCGCGUACUCCACCGGG
rnacentral:lncRNA from 1 species